rnacentral:rRNA from 1 species
ACCUGAAACCGUGUACGUACAAGCAGUGGGAGCACGCUUAGGCGUGUGACUGCGUACCUUUUGUAUAAUGGGUCAGCGACUUAUAUUCUGUAGCAAGGUUAACCGAAUAGGGGAGCCGAAGGGAAACCGAGUCUUAACUGGGCGUUAAGUUGCAGGGUAUAGACCCGAAACCCGGUGAUCUAGCCAUGGGCAGGUUGAAGGUUGGGUAACACUAACUGGAGGACCGAACCGACUAAUGUUGAAAAAUUAGCGGAUGACUUGUGGCUGGGGGUGAAAGGCCAAUCAAACCGGGAGAUAGCUGGUUCUCCCCGAAAGCUAUUUAGGUAGCGCCUCGUGAAUUCAUCUCCGGGGGUAGAGCACUGUUUCGGCAAGGGGGUCAUCCCGACUUACCAACCCGAUGCAAACUGCGAAUACCGGAGAAUGUUAUCACGGGAGACACACGGCGGGUGCUAACGUCCGUCGUGAAGAGGGAAACAACCCAGACCGCCAGCUAAGGUCCCAAAGUCAUGGUUAAGUGGGAAACGAUGUGGGAAGGCCCAGACAGCCAGGAUGUUGGCUUAGAAGCAGCCAUCAUUUAAAGAAAGCGUAAUAGCUCACUGGUCGAGUCGGCCUGCGCGGAAGAUGUAACGGGGCUAAACCAUGCACCGAAGCUGCGGCAGCGACACUAUGUGUUGUUGGGUAGGGGAGCGUUCUGUAAGCCUGUGAAGGUGUACUGUGAGG